UUCCAGGACAGCCAGGGCCACACAGAGAGACCCUGUCUCAAAAACCAAAAAAGGAAGAAAAAAAAAAACUUACUUAAGUAAGUCACUUAUUAGACCAGGCAUAGCAACACAAGUCCAUAACCCCAACUCCAGAGGCUGAGGCAGGAGGAUUGCUACAGAUUCAAAGCCAGGCUUGGGUAUAUAGUGAGACCCUAUCUAUUUAAAGAAAAAGGAAACAAAGAAGGAAAAAACCCUACUCUUCCUAACCCAGUGUGAACCAUUGGCAGAUUUUAUUUUUAACUAGCCACUUAAAAGUGGUUAUGGUGGACGAACUAUAGGAUGUGUGUUUAGCUACCACCAUUUCCCCAAUUUUUAGAUGCUCUGUUAGUUGUGACUGCAUGUCAAGCUCUGUUUUGGUUCCUGGUAAUACAGCAAUGGUUGUAACAAAAGUCCUUGGCAUAACAGGGCAGGUGGCGUACCCUGGGUAAAGUACAGAAGGCGUGUCUUCAAUGCACAGGGUGGCAGAGCCACAGGGAGCCACGCCAGACCAGGGCACAGCCCCCGGAGCAGAGUUAGUGUGAUAGAAGUCUCUAAGAAGCCACCUCUCCCAUGGUGCCUCCUCCACUCCUAGAGAGUGAUGGUGUUUCAGAAGUUGCCUGUGGUAGUACAUUUUGAGGGUUUAAAAAAAAAUAAUAAUGAAUGAAAAAAAUCAGUGCAUCUAAUGAUGGAAUUAGAAGCAACCCUGGUUCCCCUUGGAAUACUGUCACCUCGGGGUACCAGCUCUGGCCUCCUUGGCUCCUCUGCAGACUUGUCUGCACAGUGGGUAUAGACUGUAGCAGGCAGGCAGCCAAGCUGGGAACAUUGGACCAACUUGGAGGGGAUGGGGGAGGGAGGGCUAUGUUUAAAGUCUUGUUAAAUUUUUAAUUUUUAGGUGUCUUUAGUCUCACUCUUGGCUAGUUUUUAGGUUUCUUUUCACGUUACACGUGUUGAGAGCCGUGGUGUGAGACGUGAGGAGGACCAGAGAGCACAGGAAAACGUGACUGUGGCACGGGUGUCCCCCUGCUUUCGCCCCCUAACCUGCCUGCGUGCGACUCUUCUCUAAUACAAGUGAUGUUUUCUUGUUUUUCAGAGAGAAGCUAAAAAUGAAAGAGCGAGAAGAAGCAUGGGUUAAAAUAGAAAAUCUAGCCAAAGCGAAUCCCCAGGUACUAAAAAAGAGAGUAACUCGGGAGUGUUGAGGCUUUGCGUGAAUGUCUGAGAUAGGGCCUGGCUCCACCCCAGGAAGGGAGGCCAACGUCACUAACACUGUAUGUGCAAAUGUCCGCAAUAAAACACUUUCCAACUUUGUAACUUCCUCUUGUAUAAGUACUUAUUUGCCACACGUAACUUUUACCACAGAAUCGAUUUUUUUCUCUUCUUUUUAAAAGUAAGAUGUGAUGUGGUAAAGAGAACACCAGGAUGUAACCUCUAAGAUUGUAAUGUCCUUUCUUGCUCGAAUGUCAUAGAUGCUGUCACUUGAACCGUGUUCCUCCGUUUUAUUCUCAUACAUGAGAGGGAUGGGGGGGAGGCAGAUGAAGAAUGCUGAAAACUAACUGAAUUCUGCCCUGCUCACACUAACUGUUCCUCUACCCUAGCCGAUGCAGUGUGCUCCCGCAAGGCGAAGCCAGGCAGAUGGUCCUGUCUGUCAGAGCUGCAGGUGACUCAGCAGCCUCUGUCCAGGGUUGGCUUUUAGGCUGGCAGAGCCUGGGACAGCUUUGCAGCCAUAGCUCUUUGGUGUUGCCUCCGCUGGUCCGAAUGAUCAGUUAUUGGGGUGUUGCCUCUGCUGGUCCGAAUGAUCAGUUAUUGGGGUGUUGCCUCUGCUGCUCCGAAUGAUCAAUGUUACUGGGUGUUUCUUUUCUCCUUGUUGCGUGUGUCUGAUUAUAACAGCCACUUGAUGAAAUGUCUGACCUUCUCCACACUAAGAUCUCUCAGGCUUCUCUCAGCUCUCCAGGGAAGAAAAUAUCUUACUAAACAGUGUAUUUCUUUUUGGUUGAGAAGUGUGUAUUAAGUGUGUACAUAAAUUAUUAUGUAAGUUGGAUGUGGGUUUUUUUAAUCUUUGUCAUUUAAUAAAAACAAUAUAUGAAGAUAUCAGUGUGUAUUUUCCUAUGAGACAGCAUUCUAGCCUGCAUCCCUUUGAAGAAAGGAUACUUAAUGACAGUCUGUUGCGGAUCUGCGGUUCCACCUAAAACAAGUAGCUCACAUUUCCCUGGCAGCACUUUACAUGCUAUAGAGAAGUUCUUCUAAGGCUUGUAGCUUAAUUACAGAGAUCUGCACGUAUGGACAGGGCUUAUGUGGAGAGUGGGCAGAAGCACCGGCAGUUGUUUUAAAACUCGGCAAAAGCCUGUGUGGGCAGGGUUAGGUGACUCAGCCUUGCUGGCAUUGCACUGGUGGCCUUGCUUUGUUUGGAACUUUGUUUGUUUGUUUGUUUGUUUGUUUUUAAUCUGGCCGGUGGAGAGCCUUGGAAGGCUUGCUUUGCCUAGAAAAUGGAAAUACUCUGUUGAAAACUGCACAGAGCUCCCACUUACAAAUGAAGAGCGUUACGGGGUCAGCACUGGGGUCGCCACUGCCUUGCAACAAAGCUUUCUGGUUUAUCCCUUUUGAUCGCUCUUACAACCUGUUGAUGAUGGCUGUGGUGGGUUUGGCAUUGGAGCUUUGGUGACCUUCAUUCCCACUGUCCUCACCGCCCCCCCCCCCCAUCACUGUGUGAACCAUCUGUGACAGUCAAGAGUCUCGUCCACAUGCCCCAUGACACGCUGUCUCU
rnacentral:lncRNA from 1 species